UUUUUAUGGCUGCAUAGUAUUCCAUGAUAUAUAUGAGUCACAUUUCCCCUGUCUAGUCUAUCAUCGAUGGGCAUUUGGGUUGGUUCCAGGUCUUUGCUAUUGUAAACAGUGAGGCAGUAAACUCUUUAAUGGCAGGUGGGCCAGUGGGUUCCAGGAGAGUUCUGGUUGAAGCUAAGGGAUGCUGCUGGACCUGGGGAACCCCACAGUGCCUUGUUUGGGGAAAAUGUCACUUUGAAUUCUGACUUCACUUUGACAUUUCUAUUUAGCUCAUGACUCUUCUCUUCUUUUCAUUCUUUACAAUAAAACUUAGUCUACUGGUGGGAACAUUUAACAAGAGAAAAUAUUUAUUUUGAAGGGAUGUCUAUGCAUCUCAGCCCCAGGAAAGUUCAUUUCUUUACAACUGUAGAACAAAGGCUUAAGUAAAUGCACAGCUUACAUACAUGGACCAAAACAGAUGUGGCUAUCUAGUACAAUUCUUAGGAAGUCAGAUUCUAGAGCCAUAUUGUCUGAUUUUGUUCUGUUUACUGGCUUUGGGAGAGGAAAUUCUUGGUUCCCCGGUUUCAUCUUUUAUAAUAUUUACCUAAUGGGAUUGUUGUAAGGUUUAAAUAAAUAUGUGUAAAGUGUUACUGACUGUUACAGAGUAAUUAAUAAGGGUAAGUUGCUGCUAUUAUUGCUGUUAUUGUUUUGGCAGCUGCCUCAGGCUUUCUUAUAGUAAAAAUCAAAUUAAGGAAAUAUUAACCAAAAGAGUUUUCUCUAUUUAUUAAUUUUGUUUUUUCUCAAGUAGCCCUAUGCAGCUUAUUACUUCUUUAAACAAAAAAAGAUAAAAAUUUGGUUUAAAACUGGCAACUAAAAAAUACUUGCCUGGGAGUUUUGUCUUUUCCUUUCCAACCUCUUUGGUUUUUGAAAUAACGUGUGAAAAAGGAGUAAGACUGCAGCUGGGACAUUUAGACCAGUUUUGAUAAAUUAUGUCCAGAGGUCUCACCCACUGCUUUUUGUUGUUUUUGUUUUUAACCUGCCAGAGAAGAGAGAGAAAUGGAGGGAAAGGUGAAAGCAUCAUAAAGUUGGAGAGAAGAGGGAGCCAUGGUUCAGAUGGGAAGUGGGAGUGGGUAAUGCAACUGUGCAGAGAAUAAGCAGGGACGAAAGGGAAAACAGAGGAGGAGCUAUGGGAUUUUAUGUUCUGCGAAGCACCUGAUUAAAUUUAAUUCUCCAACAGUCCCAAGACAUAGAUAGGGUGGGGUAUGGAAAGGAUCGAGUUAUAAGAACUCUGUGCUACAGACGUGAAAAUGUUGUCACUAAUCUCUUGGGCUUGUAUAGUAUUUAAAAAUAUCAGAGUUAGAAAUAUUACAUGCCAAACAUGUGUCUAUCUCCUUCAUUUAAAAUGUGCAUGAAUGUUAAUGCUCUGGAGAUAAGUGACUAAUUUACCCAUUAAUUAUGCUUUUUGUUGACUUUAGUUCUGGAAACUAAUUAUUCGGGGUCUUUUAAAUACUUUCUUCCUUGAUCAGAGGUGUUAUGACAUAAAAGCAUGGAAUGAACUGGAACCCCUACUGUGAAAUAAGACUUGUGAAUUUUGAACAUGCUUAAGAAGUGCAACCAGAAUGCAUUUACCAAGCACUGUUAAUUAAGGCAUAACCUCUUCCUUAGCAUAGUUAACAAUUAGCUCUGGUGAUGGAAGUGUAAAUGGAAACACAGUGCAUUAAUAUGCUAAUAGUUCCCAUGGACAUGUGGUCUUUUUCCUUGCCCCUUUCUUCCAUUUCUUAGGUUUUUCUUUAAAGUGAGUGGUGGAGUCUACUGGUAGACUUUAAGCAGCAAGUGACUUAAAGUACAGCUUAUAGUUAUAAGCACUUAGCAACCUAAAUAUUUUAAGAUUAUAAUAUUCUUAAGGUAUAAGAAACAAGAUUAUGAAUAUUUGCAUGUUUUGAAAGUUUAAUAAAUUGCAUGUAUGUGUUUUAAGGUAGUUUAAAUAUUUGGUCCUAGAAAACCAUUGAUCAUACUAGACCGACCCAGGACGAUCAGAUCUUCUAUAUUGGUUGAAUACUAAUCAGUUGAGUCAGAUGACUAAAUUGCUUGUGUUUUCCUGUUGGGUUUAUUACUUGGAGGUAACCAGCGAAAUAAACAUGUGACUUUGCCAUUUCAUAUCAUUUGCAUACAUAUCGUACUAGAUGUUUUUAAAGAGAAAUUAUGGCCUUUCCUCUGUGCUCUUAAUGCAGACAUCAGCUCACUAACCAGUUGUUCUUGUGCUCCUCUAAACAACUGGACCUAGGAUUGAUUAUCUUAGUAACUUCAGCAGAAAUGCAAUUAAUCGUCAUAACAAAUCAGAAGAGCCUAACUGUUGAUUCAGGGUGACUAUUGUUUCCUUCUACUACAUCCUUCAUCCUUCCCAUUUGCUUCAAUAGGUCUCCCUCUUUGGCAUAAGGAUAGAGAAUGCUUGACAGGCAGGGGAGGGGUGGGGCAUAGAGGAGUGAAGGGUCUUUAUGUAUGAGCAUUAGAGUGACCUUUUGAUUAUUUUCCUCCCUGUAAGGACAUUAUUUUCUCAGGAUGAGCUGCCAUAACAUCGCACUGUCGGAUGGCAAUUUUAAAGCCUGAAAUUGAAGCCCAUGGCUAGGCUAUGAGAACUUUAGUUUGUACAGUAAAGUUGAUAUCUUCUGGAUGUAUACUGAUUUCAGUCUUCAUUUUAAUGCUCCUGGAAACUGACAUAAACAAAAGUAUUUUCAGGACAUCAUUUACAGAGCUUGGCCCUAACAAGUCAAGCUGUGAGAUUCUGCGUCUUUCAUAUGUUACAGCAGAAACUUAAAAGCAAGGGGAAAUUUAGAAAGGCAAAGAACAUCACCAUAAAACUUUGUCUCUUUUUCCCAUUCCCCAUGCAACAUGUUGCUUUGGAAGAUACUGAACAAGGCUCUUUCGCCACCCUCCGAGGACAGCCAACAAAUCUGCAAACAUAUAAUUAGGUCACAAAAUUAUUUUGCCCACUGGAGAAAUUUGAAUUUCUACUUUAUUUUGCAGUGUACAUUGACUCUCCUCUUUUUGCUCUGAGAAUAAUAAAUGCUUGCUAUACCAUCAACUUGUUAAAUUCUUUGCUUAUAGAACAGAAUCUGCACACUUCUCAGGGAAGGAUGUCCUAAGACUUUUUUUUUACUACCAGUUACUAGCAAACCUGUACUUGAAACUUUCAGGGAAAGUUAUCAAGACUAGAUGUGUAUAUUACAUAAUGUGUGGUGUGUUAUAUGCUCAGGGCAGUUUAGUUCUAGAGGGGUUCCCUAGACAGAAGGGUCCAUUUCCUUUUUUAAUUUUUUCUCUGUAAGACAAAAAUAUUUUGUAUUUAGUUUAUUUUUACUUCACUUGAUUUUCUAAAUUGGCUUCUUAAGAAGUUUAAGUCUAACUAUAUCUAUUGAGAUAUGAAUUCCGUUAGUUGGCUUCCCUCUUUGUCUGUGAGAUAUGGUAUAGUAGGUAAGAAAAGAUAAAUUGAGAUUAUUGAUUUCUAAGUAUAUACCAAGCACCAUGUUUAAUAUGUUAUAUAUAUUUUAUAAUCGCCAUAAAACUCCUCUGAGGAAAAUAAUAUUAUGCUCAUUUUAAAGAUGAAAACAUUGGUAUUCUAAAAAUCUAAGGAGACUUCGUCUGAGAUCCUUUAUUUUUUCUAGGCUAUGUUAUGGUACAUACAUUGUCCAUAGGCUUUCUCUGAUUUUUAUUCCCCCACGGUGUGGCACUUUAACUUCAACUGAUAGUUUCAAAGCACAUUUCUUUUGAAGCUUAAAAGUUGAUCAAUUACGAAAACAUCGUUGGUAUUCAACUAGAGGAGAAAAAUCUAUAUCCAGAAUUUUUAGGCACUUGGGCAUAUACAACUAAUUGAAAUUGUCCAAAUAAAUUUUAUAAUGAAGUGGUCAUUAUUUAUGGAAAAAAAUAGCUGUUAUUAUCUGUUGUGAAAUACCUGAGUUUAUGUCUCAAACUUUUGCUUUUGUUCCAUAGGCCUUGUUUUUUCCCUUUUUAAAAAUGUGUACUACGUGGUUCCCUCAACCAACUCAUUCACUUAGCCUCUGCAUUUUGAAAUUAUCUUUUCUUAAUUGUGACAUAGUUUGCAAGGGGAUUUACAGACUCCAUAUAGAGGGAGCUGAGGCUUCUAAAAUGUUGCUACCUUUAUAAUUAAGUUAACUUUUCUUUUACUUGUUGAUAAGUGGUAUUUAUUUACAAAGGACAUAAUUUUUAAAUUGAGAUAUGAUUUAUAUGUAAUAAACUGGGCCGAUCUUAAGUGUUCUGUUCCAUGAGUUUGACAAUUACAUAUGCCCAUAUCACUUUCACAAGGCAAGAAAUAGACCAUUUCCAUUUUUUCAGAAAGUUCCCUUCUGCCUUUCUCCAGCCAAUUACCACUCCAUACAACCUGAGACAAACGUUUUCCUAUAGAUCUGUUUUGCUUGCUGUUGAAAUUUAUAUGAAUGAAAUCAUAUCAUUUUGCCCUCUUUUAUCUAGUAUCUUUUGUUCAACAAGUUUUUAGAUUAAUUCAUUUCCUGCAUGAAUCAGUAGCCCCUUCCUUUUUAUUGCAGUCUGUUUUAGUGAUGUAUCACAAUUUGUUCAUUUAUUUUUAUUGAUGGGCAUUUAGGUUGCUUCCAGUUUUUAAUGAUGAAUAAAACAUCUAUGAACAUACGUUGACAAAUGUUUGUAUGAAAAUGUGCUUAUUCUUCUGGGUAAAUAGGAGGGAGUAUAAUUUCUAGAUUAUAGGACAGAUUCAUGUUUAACUUUCCUAGAAACUGUCAAACUAUUUUCCAUAUUGAUUGCAUGACUUUUUACUCCUAUUCCUAGUAAUCUGAGUUCCAGUUUCUCCUCCAACACAUGAUACUGCCAAGCUUUUCCAUUUAGCUAUUUUAGUGGCUAUAAAGUGGUGUCUCAUUGUGGUUUUAAUUUGCAUUUUCCUGAUGACUAAUUAUGUUGAGCACAUUUUCCUGUGCUUACUGGCCAUUCAUCUGUCUCUUUUUGAAAACUGAAUGUCUUUUUCUGUUUGAGUUCUCAGAUUUCUUCAUAUAUUGUGGAUACAAGUGCUUUUGUUGUAUUUAAGUGUUAGAGGUUUAUUAGUCUUUGGCUUAGACUAAUAAUUUCCUUAAUAAUACAUUUUGUUGAUAAAAACUUUUAAUUCUGAUUAAGUCCAGUUUAUCAAUUUUUUUAUUCAUGGUUAAUCCCUCUUUUUAAAAAAUUAUCUUAAGAACACUUAACAUGAGAUUUACCCUCUUAAAAAAUCUUAUACACUACAGUAUAUUUAACUAUAGGGAUAAUGUUGUAUAGCAGCUCUCCAGAGCUUAUUCCUCUUGCAUAAUUGGGAUUUUAUACUCAUUAAGUAGCAACUCCUCAUUUUUCCCCUCUCCCCAGCUCUCAGCAAUCCCAAUUUUACUCUCUGAGUCUAUGAGUUUGACAAUUUUAGAUACUUGCUCCUAAAAUUGGGAUAAUGUAGUAUGCAUCCUUCUGUGAGUAGCUCAUUUCACACAGCAUAAUGUCUUCAAGGUUCAUACAGGCAUGUAUUCCCUAUUUUUAGGCUGAAUAAUAUUCCAUUUUAUAUACCACAUUUUCUUUAUCCACUCAUUUAUUGAUGGUUGUUUAGGUUGUCUCCACAUCUUAGCCAUUCUGAAUAGUCCUGCAAUGAGCGUUGUAGUGCAAAUAUCGUUUAGAACUCCUGCUUUCAGUUAUUCUGGAUAAAUACCCAAAAGUGAGAUUGCUGUAUCCUAUGGUAAUUCUAUUUUUAAUUUUAUGAAGAAGGGUCUGGGAAAAGUCUGUCAACUGUCUGGAUUUUAUUUUAUUUUGGUUUAUUAAACUCACUCAGUUUCCUGAUGAGUUUAACAAAAACUUAUAUUUUUAUAGUAUGCCUGACUUCUCAGUGUUAGAAUGGAGGUAACAGUCUCUAGUAACUUUUAAUAUUUUAAGCAGAAGCAGAAGUAUUACACAUAGUUAUUUCUUUUAGCAUUUAUGCUACUAUUCAUACAUUUGCAUUUUCAUCUCUGUCUCUUUCAUACAUUUUCUUCUCUGGAAUUUACAUAUCAAGUGCAUUACACUCUGCUGAUGCCCUUCACACUGUUUCUCUUUUUCUGCCAUAUUCCUGUUCUGUUUUACUAUUAUCUGCACUCACACAGUAAUUAUUCUAUAUCAUCUCUUCAAAAAUUAUGUUUGCCCUUUUUGUUUUGGGUUCUCACAAAAGAGGAAAACAUAAGCAUUGAAAUUUUCCACAGGGAAAUAAUGAUGUUUGCAUGGAGAAAGAUUUUUUUGAGCAUAGAAAUGAAAGGAUGUUUAAUAAUGAAAUGCUAAAAAAAAAAAAAAAAAAAAAAAACACUUUGGCCAUGAAAAUAAAAUGUACUAGAAGAAAAUAUAGGGGGAAAAGUUCUGUGACAUUGGUCUGGGCAAAGAUUUUUUGGCUAUGACCCCAAAAAUAUAUGCAAUAAAAGCAAAAAUAAACAAAUGAAAUGACAUCAAAUUGAAAGGCUUCUACACAAAAAAGAAAGCAAUUAAUAGAGUGAAGUGACAACCCAUGAAUUGGAAGGAAACAUUUGCAAAUCAUACAUCUGAUAAGGGGAUAAUAUCCAAAAAUAUAUAUGUGACUCAAGCAACUCAAUAAUGAGAAAACAACUCAAUUAGAAAAUUGGCAAAGGAACUGCAUAAACAUUUCUCAAAAGAAGAUAUACAAAUGGCCACCAAGUAGAUUUAAAAAAAUGUUCAUCAUCAUUAAUCAUCAGGGAAAUACAAAUUUAAACCAUCAUAACAUAUCACCACACAAUUGUUAGAAUGGCUACUGUGAAAAAGAUAAAAAUUAACAAGUAUCAGCAAGUGUGUAAAGGAAAGUAAACCUGUGAACACUGUUGGAGGGAACAUAAAUUGGUAUAAUCAUUAGAGAAGAAAACACUAUGGAGGUUUCUCAGAGGCCAUAUGAUCUACCAUCAUAUGAUCCAGAAAUCCCACUUCUGGGUAUUGUUAAAAGAAAAACUUCAGCCGAAUUAAAUUUAAAGGAGUUUAAUCAAGCAAUGAAAGAUUCAGAAUCAGGCAUCCCCCCGAAUCAUAGCAGGUUCAAAGAUUCCAGUGCAGCCACGUGGUGAAAAAAGAUUUACAG